rnacentral:misc_RNA from 1 species
GAAAGCACACACCAUGCUGGAAAGGAGAGAGAAGGAAAAACCCACUCCUAGCCACACAAUGGUGGAUCUUAAUAUCCAAUGAAAARAAAAAAAUUCUAAUCUAGGUCACACACAAUAACCCAAUAUAAAAUGAACAAGACAUGAUCAAGCAAAUCAAAGAAAAAUGUACAUCAAUAAAUAUGUUAAGACAUGUUCRAUGUUACUGGUGAUCAAGGAAUUUCAAAUCAAGACCAAAAUGGUAUACCAUUUACAACCAUCCCUCUGGCAAAAAUUAAAUACCAAGUGUCAGCCAUGAGGUGGCUCAGAGCUCUCCUGUAUUGCUAGUGAAAUGUUAACUGGUUCAACAACUAUGUAAGUCAGCAGGACAUUAUGUCCUAAAAUUGAACAUUCGUGUGCCCUAUGACCUAGUUACUCCACUCAGGUCUAUAUAAAAGAGAAAACCAUGCACAUAUGGAACAUGCACAGCAGAAAAUGUGAAAGAAUAUCUCAUGCUCUUCAGAAGAGCAAAAACCUGGAAAUGACCAAAGGCCCAUCAACAGAAGAGUGGAUAAAUUAACUUCAGCAGAUCCACACAAAAUAUCACAGCAGUCAGAAGGAAUAAACCACAGUGAAAAACAACAAUACGGUUGAUUUUUAGUAAUAUUACUGUUAUCACUUAAGUCCCAAAAAGUUACACAUAGGAAGAUAACUUAGUUGCAAACACACAGAUUUUUUUUUUUUGGAAAUUAGAUACAGUAAAAMAAAAAAAAAAUUAAUACAAGAUGGGAGCUAAUGAUUACUCCUAGCGAAAAGUGAAAGAGGAAAGAGUAAAACAGAUAGUGGUUACUGCCAAGAUCCUAGAUUUUUGUUGGAAACAGUGCUCG